UCUGNUCUGUAACUGACGCUGAGGCUCGAAAGCGUGGGGAGCGAACAGGAUUAGAUACCCUGGUAGUNCACGCCGUAAACGAUGAGUGCUAGGUGUUAGGUCCUUUCCGGGACUUAGUGCCGCAGCUAACGCAUUAAGCACUCCGCCUGGGGAGUACGACCGCAAGGUUGAAACUCAAAGGAAUUGACGGGGGCCCGCACAAGCGGUGGAGCAUGUGGUUUAAUUCGAAGCAACGCGAAGAACCUUACCAGGUCUUGACAUCCCGAUGCCCGCUCUAGAGAUAGAGCUUUACUUCGGUACAUCGGUGACAGGUGGUGCAUGGUUGUCGUCAGCUCGUGUCGUGAGAUGUUGGGUUAAGUCCCGCAACGAGCGCAACCCUUAUUGUUAGUUGCCAUCAUUCAGUUGGGCACUCUAGCGAGACUGCCGGUAAUAAACCGGAGGAAGGUGGGGAUGACGUCAAAUCAUCAUGCCCCUUAUGACCUGGGCUACACACGUGCUACAAUGGCUGGUACAACGAGUCGCAAGCCGGUGACGGCAAGCUAAUCUCUGAAAGCCAGUCUCAGUUCGGAUUGUAGGCUGCAACUCGCCUACAUGAAGUCGGAAUCGCUAGUAAUCGCGGAUCAGCACGCCGCGGUGAAUACGUUCCCGGGCCUUGUACACACCGCCCGUCACACCACGAGAGUUUGUAACACCCGAAGCCGGUGAGGUAACCGUAAGGAGCCANCC
rnacentral:rRNA from 1 species